rnacentral:rRNA from 1 species
UACGGAGGGGGCUAGCGUUGUUCGGAAUUAUUGGGCGUAAAGGGCGCGUAGGCGGUCAAGCAAGUUGGAGGUGAAAUCCCUCGGCUCAACCGGGGAACUGCCCCCAAUACUGCUUGACUUGAGUCCCGGAGAGGGUAGCGGAAUUCCCAGUGUAGCGGUGAAAUGCGUAGAUAUUGGGAGGAACAUCAGUGGCGAAGGCGGCUACCUGGACGGGUACUGACGCUGAGGCGCGAAAGCGUGGGGAGCAAACAGG